CCUACGGGUGGCUGCAGUGAGGAAUAUUGGUCAAUGGGCGGGAGCCUGAACCAGCCAAGCCGCGUGAGGGAAGAAGGUACAGCGUAUCGUAAACCUCUUUUGUCAGGGAACAAACGCGGUGACUAGUCCCCGGUUGAGGGUACCUGAUGAAAAAGCAUCGGCUAAUUCCGUGCCAGCAGCCGCGGUAAUACGGAGGAUCCGAGCGUUAUCCGGAUUUAUUGGGUUUAAAGGGUGCGCAGGCGGCCUGUUAAGUCAGCGGUAAAAGCCCGGGGCUCAACCCGGGCGAGCCGUUGAAACUGGCGGGCUGGAGUUGGAGAGAGGUACGCGGAAUGCGCGGUGUAGCGGUGAAAUGCUGAGAUAUCGCGCAGAACCCCGAUUGCGAAGGCAGCGUACCGGCUCCACACUGACGCUGAGGCACGAAGGCGUGGGUAUCGAACAGGAUUAGAUACCCGUGUAGUC
rnacentral:rRNA from 1 species